rnacentral:rRNA from 1 species
GGAGGCGCUCAAAGGUUCCCUCAGAAUGGUUGGAAAUCAUUCAUAGAGUGUAAAGGCAUAAGGGAGCUUGACUGCGAGACCUACAAGUCGAGCAGGGUCGAAAGACGGACUUAGUGAUCCGGUGGUUCCGCAUGGAAGGGCCAUCGCUCAACGGAUAAAAGCUACCCCGGGGAUAACAGGCUUAUCUCCCCCAAGAGUUCACAUCGACGGGGAGGUUUGGCACCUCGAUGUCGGCUCAUCGCAUCCUGGGGCUGUAGUCGGUCCCAAGGGUUGGGCUGUUCGCCCAUUAAAGCGGUACGCGAGCUGGGUUCAGAACGUCGUGAGACAGUUCGGUCCCUAUCCGUCGUGGGCGUAGGAAAUUUGAGAGGAGCUGUCCUUAGUACGAGAGGACCGGGAUGGACAUACCUCUGGUGUACCAGUUGUCGUGCCAACGGCAUAGCUGGGUAGCUAUGUGUGGACGGGAUAAGUGCUGAAAGCAUCUAAGCAUGAAGCCCCCCUCAAGAUGAGAUUUCCCAACUUCGGUUAUAAGAUCCCUCAAAGAUGAUGAGGUUAAUAGGUUCGAGGUGGAAGCAUGGUGACAUGUGGAGCUGACGAAUACUAAUCGAUCGAAGACUUAAUCAAA